rnacentral:tRNA from 1 species
AUGGUAAAAUUUUUUUUUGCCACGGAGAAGACGCGGGUUCGAUUCCCGCUAUCCGCCCCAAUUUUAUUUAAUUAUUUAAUAUGA